CGGGCCUCACCUGGCGGCGGCCCCACCUGGCGGCGGCCGCUCCCGCCCGCCCCGCACCCCGCGGAAGCCGGGAGCUCAGGCCCUGGCGUCACCCGGCCCGUCGGGAAAGCGGCGCCCGGAGCCGCGGGGAGGGGAGAUGAAAGGCGGGAGGCGGGUGCGGGCCCCGGCAGCGCCAGAUGAGGGUCGGGAGCCCCGCCCCGCGCCCGGGGACCAGAUGAGGAAACUGAGGCCCAGAGGGAUAGAUAACUGGCCAAGGCCCCAGGCUCAUUGCGGAAAAGCCAGGAGGUGAACUGAAACCUUUCUGGAAGCAUUUUUAUCACCUCCCAUGACCUCGUGCUGGUACAAACCGGUUCCCUGGAAAACACAAAAGAGACACACAAGAGAACACAAGCACCUUUGAUGUCUAUGUUGGGUCCCGUGAUGCCCGCACCCCCCUCGCGGCCGAUUUCCAGCCUCCAGCGGUUUGACCACUGACUCGCAAAACUCCUCUUUAACUCUCAGCUCCUAGCACACUGCCAGAUCACCUUUCAGAGCGGAGGGCAGGCCAGUCGUGCAGGGGGACCCUGGGCGGCUUCCCGAGCGUGUCUUUGGGGAGUGCUAUGUCCCAUGGUGCCCCUCUGAGACUUGAGGAGCCCCAUCUGUGAAAUGGGCCCGACCGUCCCUUGCCUCUCUCGUCUGCCUCUCGGGGCUUUGCAGCUGCAGGUUCCAGCGGGACCCCUUGGGAGUAAAAAUUCGAGAAGGGAGCAAACACCUGAGCGAACAGCCGGUAUGUGAGCGCAUUUCUGGGUGAGUGAGGCUGGCUCUCGGCCUCAGGCGGGUCUGAGUUUUGUCUUUAUUUCUCGCACGCUGUGUGUUCCUAGGUAAGUCACUUAACUGCCCUGAGCUUCAGUUUCCUCCCUGCAGUGGGUGAUGGGAUGUCCGCUUUUGGCUGUUUUUGAGAGUUUAAUAGGCCCUUAGAAGUGCCUGACAGCAGCUUAGUUUAGUUUUGUUUUCUAAUACAUUCAUUCAAGAUAUAAGUAUUCAUCCGAACGCCUGCUGGCUGGACCUCAGACCUGUCGCCAGGCCCCCCAGCGGGAGGGCGGGAGAAAUCGCCAGAGAUCUACAGCCUUGGGUCUUGAAUUAUCCGAGUCUUGCCCCGAAUCGCCAAGACUUCUGAAAGAUCAGCGAAGAUGUUCGCGCCAGUGUUCCCCCAUGUUCACGGGCGAAGGUGGUUUUUCGGACAGUGAUAUGAUGAAAGCAAUCGGCUGGAAUAAAUUGGAGGAGGUUUUGCUUCAAGCUAUUACUGCCUAAGAGCCCCCCCCCCCCCCAUAACAACCUUUUAUCAAAAAGACAAUUGCGUGCGAUGUAACAUUGCAAAAGAAAAGUUUGGUUUUUUUGCAUUUACCCAAAACUGUGGCUGUGUGUUCUGUUUCUGUACGCAGAGAAGAGUGCCACCUCUUUUCUCUGGGGAAAGAUGGCCCUUUAUUCUGUGACCGUGUCCUUUUUAGUUUUCCUUCAGUGAUCAGCAAAUACCCUUUCCCUCAUGAAGUGAAAGUGGUGAUGGUUUUAAGCUUUUGAAAAUUAGCUUUGAAUAGGUGUUGCCUGUACACGGUGCAAAGCUAAAGGGUAGACUGUUCAAAGCAAACCGCCCUCCUUCCCUCCCUGCCUCUCAGUCAUGGGUACCUCCGCUUGUAUGUAAAUCGUUCCUGUGAUCUUGUCUAGCUCACAUGUGUGCUCCUGGGAAGAGGGUGGUGCCGUCCCCCGGCGUCGGUCCUUUGGGGAGACGUUGGGGAAAGAGGUUAAAAAAGAUCUUAGAUGCUAUUUGAAUUUUAUAAUCGUAUGCAUAGUGCCGCCUGGUGUUAUAUUUGAUUUGGAUGGGACCGUCUCAUUGGCCAGGCCCACUCACCGUCACGUGGUUGCUGUGGGGAAGCAGGCUCUAGCUUAUGAUGACACCCUUGCUUCUGUCUUUAAUGUCAUCUUUGAGGUCCUUACCCCAAGCUGUUUUCUGCUGGUGCAAACAGCCAAGGAAAGUUCCUCUUUUGUUGCUUUAGGGCAUGUUUGUGAGUAGGCUGGUUCCUGUCUGCUGGGUGCUCUGUGGCCGUGGAACCACCUGGAUCUCAAGACUGGAUCCAUAAGUGCAUAUUUGCUGAUAAUAAUGCUCAUUAGAGAAGGCAGGUGCAUGGUGGGGAGGCUUGCUGCAGUCAUGCAGACAUCACUAAUCGAUCACUAGCAGCCAUCACUAAUCGAUCACUAGCAGACAUCACUAAUUGAUCACUAUCACUACACACUCCUGUGAGAUCAGACAGGGCCUCAGAAUCCCGCUCAACACAGCGCUCUAGGGAGGGGCAAGGGAGGUGGAUGGUAGACGGCACCAGAUGGCCCUGUUAUCACACCUUAUUCUUUGGUUCCCAGACCUUGGUAUUUUAUAGAUCAGUGUAAUUUCUAAAUUUGUUUUUUAAUGUUUUUAUUUAUUUUUGAGGUGAGACAGUGCCAGCAGGGGAGGGGUAGAGA